UAAAGGAAAACUUGUAAUAAAGAAAUAACAUGAGAAAGGUAAAGUGACAUUCAUCUUCUUCUAACUUCUUCAGGGUUCACGAACAGCUCUGAACUUGGAUGCACUUGCUAUGGCGUUAUCGAGAAUCUGCGUCGGUGAGACUGCCUCGUCUUUAAAUAUAAAUUUGUUCCUCGCCUUCGAAAGCUCCCAUAGUAGGAAUACAAAUUCCAGAGCUGUGCCAGACCUCAGCUGAUUGUUCACAUUAAAGCAAGUAGUGACCCGCUGUUUUCGGUUUCGGCUUCACAUCUUCUACAGGUUCUAGAUCGAGCUCCAUAUGCAUUUCUCAGCAUAGUGGAUUGGAAGCAAAUUCAGAGGGGGAUGAAAGAAUUGGUGUGCUAAUGUGUAACCCGAAGCAACCGUAUAACUCCCUUGUUUCACCCCUGGCCAAGUAAUCAAGUCUUCUUGUCCUUCAAUUUUAGUACUCAAAAUAGCUUGUGCAAUGUCUGUACUGAACUGUUCAUGAAUUAAUUGUUGGUUCCACCGUUGAUUGCUAGUAAGUAGUUGCUCUACCCAAUUCAGUUGACACUCCGGGUUACAUUGGGUUAUAGAGGCUAGAUUGGGCAUGUUCUGUAUCCAUGGGUCUUCUCAUAUCCUUACUGAUCUACCUCUUCCUAUCUUCCAUUUAAUCCCCUUUUCUAAGACUUUUAGACCUUCCAAUAAGCUCCUCCAUCCCCAAGAGGGGUUGGAUCCCAUAUCAGCCUUAAGACAAUUGGAAUACCUUAAAUAUUUGCUUUUAUAAACGUGAUAGUCCUAUUUCUUGUAAUCAAUCUCCACCCUUGUUUUGCCAGCAUUGCCAAAUUAAAAAAUUUAGGGUAUGUGGUUCAAGUAUUACUUUGUUACAAAGAUUCCAUUCCCAUGGGAAUCAAAGAUACCCAAGGGGAAGGUGGGAAUUGAAAUGAUGGUAUUUUGAUUCCCUGGAAUCAAACUUGCUUAGGAAUAGCUUUUCAAACUUUGAACCAAACAUGAGAAUAUGAUAUUCCCAUCUUAAAAUUCCUAGGAAUUAUUUAAUUCCUCCAACCACACACACCCUUAAGGUUUUUGAAAUUCAAUCCACCUUGGCACUUUGGUCUACACAUAGUACUCCAUUUAAUCCAAUGCAUUUUUUGCUCUGAUUCCCGCUAUUCCCACCAAAAUUGCAUAAUCAUCUUAUGUAAUUCCUCCAAUAAGGUCUCUGGGAGCUUAAAACAACUUAAUGUGUAAAUAGGAAUUGCAGUAGCAACCGCCUUAACAAGGACCUCUCUUACACUAGCCAAUAGGAAUGAUCUCUUCUAAUGUUUUGCUGGAUACCGUAUCUUUAAUGUAGUUAAAGGUAGCUGUCUUUGAUCUUUGAACUGCUGAGGGUAAGCCGAGAUACCAAUUUUAAUUCCCAACAUGUGGAACUUGUAGAAUGGCUGCCAUUUGUUCUCUAUUCUCUAUCGGCAUACUGUGACUAAAAAAAACUGAGCAUUUGUCCAAAUUAAUAGUCUAUCCGCUCAGAAUUGAAUAGGUGAUUAGAAUAGCCAUUAGAUUUUGACAAUCUCUCUCCGUAGCCCUACUGAAUAAGAUGGAGUCGUCUGCAAAGAAUAGAUGAAUAAGAGCUGGACAUCUGUGGUUAAGUCUCACACCCACAAUCUCGUGCUUCUGUUCUCCUCUGUGGGGUAAAUGGGAUAACCCUUUUGCACAAAAAAGAAAAAGAUAGGGUGAUAGAGGAUCACCUUGUCACAAUUCUCUACAUGAUCUAAAGUAGCCAUGAGGUUGUCAUUCCACAGUAACAGAAUAAGAGAUCGUCGUCACACAGUCCUUAGUCCAAUCCAUCUAUUUCUUGCAAAAUCCCAUUUUUUCCAUAAUAGCCCAAACAAAACUCCAUUCCACCCUGUCAUAAGCUUUACUCAUGUCAAGCUUGAGAGCCAAUUAUUUUUCAUCAAACCUCUUGUUUUUUAAGAAAUACAUAAAUUCGCAAGCAAUCAACACAUUAUCACUGAUAACCCUCCCUUUUAAUGAAGGUGCUUUGGUUAGCACUGAUUACUUUAUCCAUCACCUACUGCAGACAAUGUACUAAUACUUUAGAAUUAACUUUAUAGAAAACAAUACUUAGACUAAUAAGUCUGACCUGUUUCAUAGAUGUAGUAUUAGUCACCUUCGGGAUCAAACAAAUGUGGUACGAUUGAAAGCUUUCAGCAUAUGGCCCCCUGAAAAAAGGCUUAUCACUGCUCUUGUAACAUCCUCCUUGAUUAUCUCCCAAAAGAAUUGAUAGAAUUUUGCAGUGAACCCAUGCUCGCCUAGAGCUGAAAAAGGGUUAAUAGAGAAUACCGCCUCUUGAACCUCUUUUUUAGUAACAGGUCGAGUAAUUCUUCGAUUAACAUCGUCGGUGAUCUUUGUAGGAACUUCUACCAGCGCCUCUCUUGGAUCUAUAGGAUUAGAGGAUGUGAACAAAUUUUCAAAGUAUGACUGCGCAACCUCAGCAAUCCCGUUCGUGUCUGAUCUACUAUCGCCAUCCUCUGUCUCCAAUCUAGUAAUCAUGUUCUUCCUAUUCCUAUUUUGGACUUUGGAAUGAAAAAACAUUGUAUUACUGUCUUCCCAUUUGAGCCACAUCACCAUUAGCAUUAUUUCCUUUUUUGUUUUCCUCGACCAGUCUAGAAGUAAGCUGCUAUAUUUGUAUGUUUGCAUUAGAAGGAUGAGAUUUCUGCCACUCCACAAUAGCAUGUCUACACCUUUUGAGUUUCUGAAAUAAUUUAAACAUUGGGGAGGCCUCAACCUCAUCUGCCAAUUCUCCUUCACUAAAUUCACAACCUCUCCCUCUCACACUAUUGCUCUUGGAAACGGAAUCUUCGUUUCGUCUUAGGUGUGCUUAUAUCAGCAUUGAGAAGUAUAGCUCUGUGAUCUGAGCCGGUAUCACUCAAAUGAGUCACCGUUGACCUCGGAGAAUCUCUUUUCCAGCUGCUGGAACAUAGUGUUCUGUCUAACCUAUCUUUGAUCUAAUUUUCACUGAAUUGUCUAUUUGACCAAGUAAACUUUGGCCCUUCAAACCCCACAUCCACUGAGCCUUCUUGAUUGAUAAAAUCAUUAAAAUUCUGUAUUAAUGACGCUGCUUUAACUCGACCUCCCUCCUUUUCAUGAUGAGCUUGAAUAGCAUUAAAUUCUCCAAUUACUAUCUUGUGGUUAUCACCACGUUCAAGUAAUCGAAGGAUGUAGCCAUAUUGCCUUCCUUUCUGACCUUCGUCCGUGUGCAAAUACACUCCAAAGACCUCCCAAAUUUCUUCAACUUGGUGUCCUCCCAUUUGAAAUGGAUGAAAUAAUCUCCAUGAUCAAUUACCUGAAUUAGCACCUCAUCUUUUGACCCAACCACUAAACCUCCCGCUAAAUCCCUUGGUUCCAUGCAGUAACAGUUUUUGAAACUAGAACUAUUUAGAAUCCUUUCCACAUUUAAGGAAGUGUUCUUUGUUUCACAUAGGAACACAACCUCGGAGGAAUGAGUUCUAUUAAGCUCUUGUAUGCUGUAAACUGUCAGGGGUUUUUCCAAACCCCGACAGUUCCACAUCAACAUCUUCAUGGGUCAUUGGGUGCCCUUUGUUGGGUGGCACCCUCCCCUAUUUCAGAGAUUAUUAGAUCAGGUUGGCAAAAUUUCUUCACACUAGUUUCCUUCAUCUUCUCUUCACUCCUCCUUUUAACUCCCAAUAUCCUCCUUCUACCGUGUUGCUUCCUAGCAAGUUGUUUCAGGGAAUGCCUCUUUUUAACUCCUUGAGAAGUCUCAGAUCAUAUGCUAGAAAAGCAAAAUGUUUCCUGGUUUUCACCUGUUCCCUCUCCUGAGCCUGUUUCAACAUUACUCCCUUGAACCUUAUCAUCAGCUUUUCUCCAAGGAACCAAUUCUGUAUUCAGCCACUUCUCUUUUGCCUUGGUCCCUGUAGCCAUUAUGCUCUGUACCUAAUCCUCCUCCUCCUCCCUAACUCCUCUUCCUUGGCCACAAUUCAUUAAGAGACUUGCCAAUCCUUUUAGUAAAUUGACUGGUGUCGGGCUCUUUUGUUUGAACCUUCCCCCCGUCUCAUUACUACUCGUAUGAGGAUUAACAUUCUCUUGUUGAUUGUCUUUCCUCCUUCCUACUUGGUCUGCUCGAAACCAGCCACCCCACUUCUCUUCCAUCACAUCCCCAUUCAUAGCAUCUUGUAAUUGAUUUUUGCAGGUUUUUAAAUCCAUAGUAAUUGAAGAAUUUACCUAUCCUCUCAAAUUUUAUCUUUACUUUUAUCACCUUUUGAUCUGGACCAGCUAGCUCUCCUGAGCGGCCUUGUAACAUCAAGACUGAUUCGAGCCUUUAUUAUCUUCUCUUCCUUCCCCCUCAUUUGGAAAAAAUCAACCUCCAUGACUUCUCCCACUACCCUGCCAAUUUUCUGUCCUAAUUUUUUUGGUUUUACAGGGUUCAGGUAAUCCCCCAAAAUGUAUCCAAAUAGGGACUAUUGCAAACUCCUUUUCCUCUAACUUUUCUCCUUGCCUCCAUCUCCUCACGUUGAUAAUAUAGUUUUUAAAUAACCAUGGUGCACCUUUCUCAAUCCUAACCACAUCCAAUUCAUUGUCAAAAAAGAAUUGAAACAUGUUACCUUCAUGGUUUUGGACUUUGAAUCCAGCUGGAUGUCCCAUAUAGCGAACAAUGCAGAUUCCAUUGUGCCAGAACUGAAUAAUUGAUCUACUAACAACCUACCUACCAAGCUGCGUGAACACUUAUCCAAUCCUAAUUGAAUGUCUGCCACAUCGUAGUUGAUCACCUCUUCAUCAUCCUGAUGACGACGUUGCCGUUGUGGAGUAGCAUUGCCUUGAUCACCCAUGAUUACCAUGACGAACUAGAACACAGAAGUUAACGACUUCACCCAGAUUUUGAAAAUAAGGAUUACUCUGUCAAACCCUAGCAGAGAUUUAAUGACGCUUGCCAUAGUUCCUCUUUGAUAAGAGUUCUACUAGGUAUAUUAGCUUUCAAGAAUUGAUAUAGCAAUAACAGAAGAGAAGAUUAUUAGUCAUGGUCUCAUGGAGGAUAUAAAAUGCAGAAAGAUAAUGAUUGGUAGAGCAUACGUAGUUGUUCUCGAAUUAAUUGAUAACUGAGUUUGUUCUCAGAUUGAAUGUAGCCGAGUUUAUUCUUGGAUUGAUUUAUUGAUUGACUAUGACAUGUGAAAUGUCAUGUGAAAGUGAAGCAAGUUGAAUGCAUAAAAUACAUACUUUACAAUGAGUUAGGAUGUAUUGAAAUUUAAAAUAAAAGAUUUAUAUUAGCAAACUAGAUUAUGCGUACACAUGGGUUUAUUGAGGUACAAAUGACUUAGUAAUUUGAUUUGUUGAGGGCAUUUGUCUUUCAUUUUCCUUCUAAGUUGAUUUCAAAUUCUCCUUUUUGUGCUGACUUUAGCAUUUCAUGAAAUAAUAAUGAGAGUUCUAGUUCAAAAAGGUUAAAUGUGACUAUGUGAGCAAUUGAUAAACAAUGAAUAAUUUACUAUUCAAAAGGGGAAAAACCGAAAAGGACACAAUCCAUGCCAAACACUGAAAAUAGAAUCUCUCUACAAAACUAAUCAUUUUGAUAAACUCUUGUCUAAGCAUAUAUAGUAAGAUUAAGUUGCCAGUGUCUUUAGUAAAUGUCAAGUAAAAGUUGAGGACAUCAUAAGGAGCAUACAUACUAGUUGAUUUUAUAGGAUAAACAAUGAGAAAAUGAAUAACAUUGAGAUUGUCAAACCCACUGAAAUGACAUUAGUAGAAAGUGCAUUACCAUUGUAAAUGCAUAUUUUGAAUACAUCGGCUAAAGCUAAAGCUAAACCAUGUUAUUCCAAGAACAAAUAAUUGAAGAGAAUGAAGAAACAACAUGAAUAGGACAGCAUGAGCAUUGAGCAAUUAUAAAGCAGUUGAAGAACAAAAGAGUAAUUACUAGCAAUAAAAACAUAAAUAACAACCAGGGAAAUUUUGCAUUACAUAAAAACAAUUGAGAAAGAAUAAGAAGAAAUGUAUCUUAUUCGUGUCAAUAAGAAUAAGUAGUUUUUCAUUAUGUUGUUGUUAGCACAAAAGUUCGACAUAAGUAGUUAUUUUGACUAUGAAGUAUAAUUCUCAAGACGAGUAUUUCGAUUGACAGUAGUCGAAGUAGGAGACAAAAAAAGGUAAAGUCGAACUAAGAAAGGAUGCAAAUAAAACGUGUAAAAUAAAUUGGUGCUUAAUAGACAGAUGAUAGUCUGAACGUGAGGACUAUUACUUGACUCUCAAGACAUGGUAAGAAUGUGGGUGGUUAAAAUUGAAGAGUAAGUAAAACAAGAACUUGGGUAAGAAACCCAUAACAACUCAGUACAACACAGAUUUCUUCUCUAAAAAUAGGAGAGUCAAAGAAUUUCAGGGAGACUUUCAUUUUUCAACACUGCAAAGUUACACUAAAGCACUACAAAAUUUCCAGUCACACUAACGCAAUGAAAGAUCAUGGAGUGCCAGUGCAUGUGAGUGUGCAAAGUCAAUUUACUUUAGAAAUUUUGCUUAGUUCUUUUAUUUCAUUUUCAUUUUUAGUUUCAGUUAUUUCCAGUUGUUUCAACUUCAAUUCAUUUGGGCAUUAUCUUUAAAUUUGUCUCA